GUGACUGCGUACCUUUUGUAUAAUGGGUCAGCGACUUAUAUUCUGUAGCAAGGUUAACCGAAUAGGGGAGCCGGAGGGAAACCGAGUCUUAAUUGGGCGUUAAGUUGCAGGGUAUAGACCCGAAACCCGGUGAUCUAGCCAUGGGCAGGUUGAAGGUUGGGUAACACUAACUGGAGGACCGAACCGACUAAUGUUGAAAAAUUAGCGGAUGACCUGUGGCUGGGGGUGAAAGGCCAAUCAAACCGGGAGAUAGCUGGUUCUCCCCGAAAGCUAUUUAGGUAGCGCCUCGUGAAUUCAUCUCCGGGGGUAGAGCACUGUUUCGGCUAGGGGGCCAUCCCGGCUUACCAACCCGAUGCAAACUGCGAAUACCGGAGAAUGUUAUCACGGGAGACACACGGCGGGUGCUAACGUCCGUCGUGAAGAGGGAAACAACCCAGACCGCCAGCUAAGGUCCCAAAGUCAUGGUUAAGUGGGAAACGAUGUGGGAAGGCCCAGACAGCCAGGAUGUUGGCUUAGAAGCAGCCAUCAUUUAAAGAAAGCGUAAUAGCUCACUGGUCGAGUCGGCCUGCGCGGAAGAUGUAACGGGGCUAAACCAUGCACCGAAGCUGCGGCAGCGACGUUUAUGCGUUGUUGGGUAGGGGAGCGUUCUGUAAGCCUGCGAAGGUGGCCUGUGAGGGUUGCUGGAGGUAUCAGAAGUGCGAAUGCUGACAUAAGUAACGAC
rnacentral:rRNA from 1 species